CAGCUAAGGUCCCAAAGUCAUGGUUAAGUGGGAAACGAUGUGGGAAGGCCCAGACAGCCAGGAUGUUGGCUUAGAAGCAGCCAUCAUUUAAAGAAAGCGUAAUAGCUCACUGGUCGAGUCGGCCUGCGCGGAAGAUGUAACGGGGCUAAACCAUGCACCGAAGCUGCGGCAGCGACGCUUAUGCGUUGUUGGGUAGGGGAGCGUUCUGUAAGCCUGCGAAGGUGGCCUGUGAGGGUUGCUGGAGGUAUCAGAAGUGCGAAUGCUGACAUAAGUAACGAUAAAGCGGGUGAAAAGCCCGCUCGCCGGAAGACCAAGGGUUCCUGUCCAACGUUAAUCGGGGCAGGGUGAGUCGACCCCUAAGGCGAGGCCGAAAGGCGUAGUCGAUGGGAAACG
rnacentral:rRNA from 1 species